rnacentral:tRNA from 1 species
GCAUAGCUCAGUGGUAAAGCACUUGUCUAGCAUGCAUGAGGCCCUGGGUUUGAUCCCCAGCUGCA